rnacentral:rRNA from 1 species
UACGAAGGGGGCUAACGCUGCUCGGAAUCACUGAGCGUAAGGGUGCGUAGGCGGGUCUUUAAGUCAGGGGUGAAAUCCUGGAGCUCAACUCCAGAACUGCCUUUGAUACUGGAAGAUCUUGAGUUCGGGAGAGGUGAGUGGAACUGCGAGUGUAGAGGUGAAAUUCGUAGAUAUUCGCAAGAACACCAGUGGCGAAGGCGGCUCACUGGCCCGAUACUGACGGCUGAGGCACGAAAGCGUGGGGAGCAAACAGG